UGGGGAAUUUUCCGCAAUGGGGGGAACCCUGACGGAGCAACGCCGCGUGCGGGAGGACGGCCUGUGGGUUGUAAACCGCUUUUCUCUAGGAAGAAGGUCUGACGGUACUAGAGGAAUCAGCAUCGGCUAACUCCGUGCCAGCAGCCGCGGUAAGACGGCGGAUGCAAGCGUUAUCCGGAAUUAUUGGGCGUAAAGCGUCCGUAGGCGGAUCAUCAAGUCAGUUGUUAAAGACUGCAGCUCAACUGUGGGCGCGCAACCGAAACUGAUGAACUAGAGUGCGGUAGGGGUAGAGGGAAUUCCCAGGGUAGCGGGAAAAUGCGUAGAUAUUGGGAAGAACACCAGUGGCGAAGGCGCUCUACUGGGCCGCAACUGACGCUGAGGGACGAAAGCUAGGGGAGCGAAAGGGAUUAGAUACCCCCGUAGUCC
rnacentral:rRNA from 1 species